rnacentral:rRNA from 1 species
CCUACGGGAGGCAGCAGUGAGGAAUAUUGGUCAAUGGACGAGAGUCUGAACCAGCCAAGUAGCGUGAAGGAUGACUGCCCUCUGGGUUGUAAACUUCUUUUAUAUGGGAAUAAAAUGUUCCACGUGUGGGAUUUUGUAUGUACCAUAUGAAUAAGGACAGGCUAACUCCGUGCCAGCAGCCGCGGUAAUACGGAGGAUCCGAGCGUUAUCCGGAUUUAUUGGGUUUAAAGGGAGCGUAGGUGGAUUGUUAAGUCAGUUGUGAAAGUUUGCGGCUCAACCGUAAAAUUGCAGUUGAAACUGGCAGUCUUGAGUACAGUAGAGGUGGGCGGAAUUCGUGGUGUAGCGGUGAAAUGCGUAGAUAUCACGAAGAACUCCGAUUGCGAAGGCAGUUCACUGGACUGCAACUGACGCUGAGGCUCGAAAGUGUGGGUAUCAAACAGGAUUAGAUACCCCGGUAGUC